rnacentral:lncRNA from 10 species
GAAGGCUUUAUCAUCUGUCCUUCUCAGAUGCAAGAGGUGAAAACCGUGUACAGAGAGGUUUCCAAGGAAAGGCUAAUGGUACAGCUUUGGGGAUGGAGACAUAUUUUCACCAGGAGUAGACUAUGGUUCAGAGAAGUCUGUUCUUGCUAUUCACCAUGCCAAGAGGCACUUAAGACAGGGCACUGAUCUAAUGGUUGGAUUCAGGAGUCUGGGUCAUGCUAAUGACCUUCUUGAGGAUUGGGAUGACACAGUUUCAAAUCUUGGACCCAACAUGGUUGUUGAAGGAUUAUCUGUGAUUGUAAUUUGGAACCAGAGAGGUGGCUACGGAGUCUACCUGUUCGUGGUGGGAAGCUCACCCAUAACCUGAGGCUGCUGACAGGAAUUCAACAGAGCAGAGAUUCUGAGUACUUCCCCUGACCCAGCAGCCCUGUUUUCUCAAGCUCCAACAGGUGAGUUCUCUGUGGCCUCCUUCAAAUGCCUAAAUAUCAGCACCCAGCCUGCUUGGCAAGGAGGGGACCCUGCGGCCAGAGGCACAGUUGGAGAGUGUUGAUCUGCACUCGCUCCCAAAUAAACAUCCAUGGCUAUUUCAUUAGCCUCACACACCUUUCCAUCCUUGGUUGAUUCGUUCUGUGUCCGGAAUUGGUUG